UCAAAACCACCAGAGAUCUGAGAAGCCCACAAAAUUGGAUGGAUCAUCUGACAUAGGGCAGACAUUUUCCAUCUCCAGAUCCAGCUUUUCAACACAGUAGAACAGCAUAAAACAAGAUUUCAACAUUGCCCAUACCCAAAAGACAUUUGAAUCCCUGGUCAACUGAAUCCAGAAAGCUUAGAGAUAAGGAAUUCGGAGCCCUCGAUCUAAAAGUAGCCACAGCAAGUGGAAGCAGUGGAUUUGGGAGAAGGGAGGUGUGAUGGUUUGUAUAUGCUUGGUUCAGGAAGUGGCACUAUUAGAAGGUGUGGCCCUGUUGGAGUCAGUGUGCCAAUGUGGGCGUGGGCUUUAAGACCCUCAUCCUAGCUGCCUGCAAGUGAGUCUUCCGCUAGCAGUCUUCA
rnacentral:lncRNA from 1 species